ensembl:lncRNA
AUCUCCCCACACCUGAGCUGUUUUCAGGGGAUGUAGGGAAGUGUGCGGGUUUUCUUAUGCAGUGCUCUCUCCAGUUUCGCCAGCGGCCUCAUGCCUUCUCUAAUGACGGGAGUAAGAUCUCAUAUUUUGUUCAGUUGCUACGAGAUCGUGCGCUGACCUGGGCACAAGCCGUGCUGAGCGCUAGUCCCGAAAUCACUUAUGAUGAUUUUUUGUCUCUGUUCCGGAGUGUUUUUGAUAAAGGCUCCACUGCUGCGGCGGCUGGGCUCCGCCUCAUGAAUCUGAAGCAAGGUAAGCGGAGCAUGGCAGAUUUUUCAGUUGACUUUUGGACACUAGCGACGCAAGCGGGGUGGGGGCAGGAAGCAUUAAAGACGGCACUGCUAAAUAAUACGAUCGCCUGCGUGCACGGCGAAGCACGCAACGUCGCUUCGCUCAGCCUCGGCAACCGAGGGAUGCCUCACCGGGGCCUGGAGCGGCACGCGAGCACUGCGAGGUUGAGGAGGAGGAGCAGCCCAUGCAACUUGGACGUUCGCAGCUCUCGCCCGCAGAACGUCAACGGCGUAUGGCCGCCGGUCAAGCCAGUGGUCUCCAGCCCGGUAUGCCCUCGUUCCAGGCCCCCGCCGCCCCCCCGGCUCGUGGAUGGCCAGCUGGUUUACACCGUCUCGUGCAUCAUGGACUCCCGGCGCCGGGGUCGGGGAUUUCAGUACCUGGUUGACUGGGAGGGCUACGGGCUAGAGGAACGUUCCUGGGUGCCCCGGUCGGCUAUCGUGGAUAGGGGUCUGCUCCGCGACUUCCACCGCCUGCACCCGGGUAAGCCUGGUGGGUCGCCGGGAGGCUCCCGUUGAGGGGGGGGGUACUGUCAUGGUCCCUGUGCCUCCCCGGCCAGCCCAGUGUGGCCACAAGUGUUUGUUGUUUUUCUCUCGCUCUCUCUCUCCUACCUGUCUGCCUGGGCGGAGCUCUGAUUGGGCUCCUGCCCUUGGCCCACGCACCUGCAGCUGAUCUCGAGCGAAUUGCAGUUCUCUGGCUCUU